rnacentral:snRNA from 12 species
AUACAUACUUGGAUGGGGUCAACGGGCUAACAAGAAGGCUCGUGGCCUAGUAGGAGAUCCUACGUCAUAAUUUUUUGGCAGUUGGAGCCUGUGUUCGUGCAACUCCCUA